rnacentral:rRNA from 1 species
UAGCUUGUUGGUGGGGUAAUGGCCUACCUAGGCGACGACGGGUAGCCGGCCUGAGAGGGCGACCGGCCACACUGGGACUGAGACACGGCCCAGACUCCUACGGGAGGCAGCAGUGGGGAAUAUUGCACAAUGGGCGGAAGCCUGAUGCAGCGACGCCGCGUGAGGGAUGACGGCCUUCGGGUUGUAAACCUCUUUCGACAGGGACGAAGCGCAAGUGACGGUACCUGUAGAAGAAGCACCGGCCAACUACGUGCCAGCAGCCGCGGUAAUACGUAGGGUGCGAGCGUUGUCCGGAAUUACUGGGCGUAAAGAGCUUGUAGGCGGUUCGUCGCGUCGAUCGUGAAAACGUGCAGCUCAACUGCACGCUUGCGGUCGAUACGGGCGGACUAGAGUACUGCAGGGGAGACUGGAAUUCCUGGUGUAGCGGUGAAAUGCGCAGAUAUCAGGAGGAACACCGGUGGCGAAGGCGGGUCUCUGGGCAGUAACUGACGCUGAGAAGCGAAAGCGUGGGUAGCGAACAGGAUUAGAUACCCUGGUAGUCCACGCCGUAAACGGUGGGCGCUAGGUGUGGGUUUCCUUCCACGGGAUCCGUGCCGUAGCUAACGCAUUAAGCGCCCCG